GAGACACUUCUAUGGAGCAGGACUUGCUUCAGUGAAGCUUUGGUGCUCAUUGUGUCUGCCCCUUGAGUGUGUCACU
rfam:Myotis davidii contig119005, whole genome shotgun sequence.